rnacentral:rRNA from 1 species
UACAGAGGGUGCAAGCGUUAAUCGGAAUUACUGGGCGUAAAGCGUGCGUAGACGGUCAUGUAAGUCGGGUGUGAAAGCCCCGGGCUCAACCUGGGAAUUGCAUUCGAGACUGCAUGGCUAGGGUGCGGAAGAGGGAAGCGGAAUUUCCGGUGUAGCGGUGAAAUGCGUAGAUAUCGGAAGGAACACCAGUGGCGAAAGCGGCCACCUGGACUGUACCUGACGCUGAAACGCGAAAGCUAGGGGAGCGAACGGG